GGCAAGAUGGCCGAGCGGUCUAAGGCGCUGUGUUCAGGAAAUUUCUUCCCACAGGAUUUCUUGUGACAAAAUUAUCUCAUUUCGCAGUCCGAAAGGGCGUGGGUUCGAAUCCCACUCUUGUCA